UACGUAGGGGGCAAGCGUUGUCCGGAAUUAUUGGGCGUAAAGCGCGCGUAGGUGGCCAUUUAAGUCCGCUGUGAAAGUCAGAGGCUCAACCUUUGAAAGCCGGUGGAUACUGGAUGGCUAGAGUACGGAAGAGGCGAGUGGAAUUCCUGGUGUAGCGGUGGAAUGCGCAGAUAUCAGGAGGAACACCAAUAGCGAAGGCAGCUCGCUGGGACGUUACUGACACUAAGGCGCGAAAGCGUGGGGAGCGAACAGG
rnacentral:rRNA from 1 species